UUUUCAUUAUUCAGAGCUUUGGUUUUAGGUUUUCACGUUUUUUUGUUCCCUUGUUACAAUUUUCGUUCUUAAUGCAAAUUUCCGUUUUCUGCUUCUAAUUUCGAGUUCAUUCUUGCUUCUUCUUCUUCUACUUUCAUUCACGUUUCUGUUCAUUUACGUUCUUGUUCAUUUACGUUUCUGCUUCAUGUUUCAUUUGCGUUUUCUGUUUGAAUCCAUGGAAGGCUAGAUUUUCUGUAUGCCGAUUUUUACCUGUAGCCCUGAAAUUAGCACCUUUGCUCUUGGAUUUCUUCUUCUUAGAUUUAGACACCAUACGGAUGAAAGGAACUCCUUAGGCCUUAGAGGCAUAUAAGACUUCCACUUCAUCCUCAACAUCAUCCACCCAUAACCUAGAUACCAAAUUCAUAUACUGUUUGAUAGGACCAGUCCAAAGAUUCGCAUAAGAAUUUACGGCCGAUUUUAGGGAGGUUCUUUUAGCAACAGGGGAGAGUUCUUGUUGUUGAAAGUCCUCUCUGACUGCGCUACCUCCAGGGAUUCUCCAACAAAGUUGUUCGAGCUUGCGUCACAAUCUAGGUCCUCAAGAAUGGGGUUAUUAACUUUUUGGGUGUUAGUCUUAGAGUUAGCAGUAGUUGUGCUUUUUCCUUUACCCUUUAGACAUGGGUCCAAUUGAGCAUAUGGUUUCAGGGACUUUGAUCAAGCAAUUUGGGGGCUUUUCAAGGUGUAGGAAAAUUACCUUCCAUCCAGCUGGACGACGACGAUAGGGCACAAGGUCUUGUUCUUUUGUUGUGGAGUUGCAACCUGAUCCUAUUGUUCUGCCUAGCACUUGCGCUUACAUAGUGCGACACCAUGACCUACUGUUUUACAAAAAAUCACUAAAGGGUGGAUUUUCUCAUAUUCUAUGUCCACCAACAUUCUGGUAAAAUGGCCAAAGAUUUAGUUUAAUUCUCGUUGCUACAUCAAUAUUAAUUGGUUUGCCAAUUCCACCGACUAUUUCAAACAGUACGUAGCUGAGGGCACUAGUAUUCUUGAGGUAAGUCAAGGAUACGAACCUAGCAUUGAACGCGUGACUGGAGGACGCUAUUGAGGUUGAAAUCAGGAGUCCACUGGAUAAGGCAGAGGAAGCCUGGCUGAAGGUUCUAGUUCCCUAUAGUAUGGAUGCUUAUAUCUUUUGGCGAGGCGAGGCUAAACUCAAAAUAGUCUCUUCGAAGCAGUAUUACUUUCCAAUGACAGAUGGGGCUCCACAGUUUGAGAAGCUUUUCCUUUAAGUCUUCAGUUUUGAGCAGGGUGACCCGGCCUUUAGGCAGAAUCAAUCUACCAUGGUGGUUGGUCCUACAAUUGUGGAUGCUCUACUAGUACUCCUCCACGGAGAUCUUAAUGGAGAAAGUAUCGCCCUUGAGGUAAGGCUUUGGUAGCUUACUAAUCACAAUGUCGCAUGAAUUGCUGAGGAUUUUAGCAAAAGAGGCUUUUUGCGAUUGGAGUUUUGAAGGAACGGGGAUUGUGGGUGACGAAGGGUCAAGAAGAAAGGUCCAUGGGAAAACGAUGUUGCGAUUGGUCAUGACGUUGGCUGCUUGCUAGGGGAACCCUAGCAGAGCGACAUCCAGUUAAAGUAGUCAAGGUUGUUGCUAGAAAAGCUUUGCACAAGCUUUUUAGGAAAACACACAGCAAGAUAAAGCAAGCAAGCAUCCACUUUUUAUACAAAGUUAGCUUAUUGUGGGUAUCUUACACAAGUAUUAAUGUCACAUUUA
rnacentral:lncRNA from 1 species